CAAUCAUUGGAAUUUCUUAACUGCACAAAACACCAAUAUUUUUCAAGAUCCUCAAGACUAGUAGGACGUGCCUCUUCUAAAGGAAGCCCCUACGCUUCAGUACCAUGGACCAAAAUAAACUCAGCUUCUUCGACAUUCUCUACUACUUGAAGGCUCAGCCCCUACAACAACAGAUGUCUGAGAUUUUUAUGAGUAGUAUUGAAAUUACUAUUAACUGGUUGGGUAAUGCUUGGAGUACCGACCAAUGGUACCGAUUAUGUGCUCGGACUGACGUGGAACCCAUGUGACUGCCGCCCUUUAUUCUGCCACGUCAUCGUAAUUCCACAUCGGGUCAAUAUUUCGUAAAAAAAAUAUUGCAAGUAACAUGACUUAAUAUUAAAAAAAAAAGAAAGAGUAAUAUUUCAUCACUCUCAUCUUCUUCCCUCACCUGGUAUUGUUUCCUCUUCCACCAUUGCUGGCUGUUCAGGACCACCACUACUGUUGACUUUCAGCUACCACCUUCAUCUUCCGUUUGAAAAAAGCGCUGAAACCACCUGUGUUCAGUAUUCACGGACUCUCCGCUUUGGUUAAUCGUCAUUGUGAAGAGAAGAGAGAACUCUAGGAUAAUGAUGGCCUAUUUUCAAUGCUAAAUAUAAAGGUUUUUUCUUACAAAGAAUUUUAUACAGUAACAAAGGGUUAUACACACAAAUAUGAGCAUGGUGGAGUUGCGAAUGCUUUUCAAGGAGAGUUGCUAUAUUUUACCCUCUUUGCCAAUGUGGAUUUGCCUAGGGCUCACACAUGUGUGUUGUGAAGAAUCUCACAAUUGAAGACCCUUUAAUUGUGCCUUGAGUAUUGAAGAUCUUCUACAGCCUAUUGCUUCUCGUGCUUCUGUUUUCAUUUUUUUAUCCUGCAUUGUCUCUGAAUAAAAAAAAAAAACUCCACAGCAGAUAGUGGUCGCCACUGCCAGAUCUCAAAUUCUAGCUAGCUUAUUUCAGUGUUUUCGUUUGAAAUCAUGGUAUGUUUUUAUCAAACACUUUGUCUACUUUCUAUUUUAUUUUUAUUUCACCAUGAAUUUUUUAUGAUACGAUAAACCCUAACUUUCUCCCAUUGGAAUCUACUAUUCCUAUCAAAAAAUCAAAUUACAUAGAAGUAAUAGAACUAGCUAGGCACAUAUGGAUCCACAGAUCUUGCUCUGUUAUUCUUCAUUUCUAAUCAUUAAAUUGACAAAAUCCUGUAAUAGUAACAACUCCAUGAUUCAAUGGUUGCUGGAGUAACGCGUUUAUUCUUCAUUUAGAGUGAGGAAGAAAGGAUGAGAGAGAAAAAAAUCUGCAUUCUGUAAAAAUCGGGAGUGUUCCACUGCCCUUCUUUUAAUAGAAAAUAUCUGCGGUCUUCUUGGGCCUUCAUUUUCUUCCUAGGGAAAUUUCAUAGCAGUGGAGUGGACAUAGCGUUCAUAUAAAAAGUUAACCAUUGUAAAUCCUUCUGUAUUUGUGGUUUCUUUUAAAUUCAUUCUUUGUUUGCCGAUUAUUAUCACUCUUGAAUGCAUUUAAAAGUGUACAGCAGUUAUCACGAAAAUCACACUUUGUUUCAGGAGACAAUUUAAACACGUCCAAUAAUAUUUGGCAAUACAUUAUAUACUUGUAUUGUCUUUGUUGUGUUUUGUCCCAUGCACUAAAUUUUCAUCAAAGAGAUAUAAACCGAAUAUGUGUAAAUAAUAUUGAAAUCCAUAAAUGAGUUUGUAUAUUGGUGGCUUUCAAUCUCUAAUGUUAGCAGCAAUAAUAACAGUUGGAGUUUUUAAAAGAUUGGAAAACCUUGAAAUUAUUAUAGGAGUUAAAAUUGAAAUUUUUAUAGGAGUCACAUAUUGAAACUAUUAUAAGAGUUACCAAUUAAUAUAAUAGGAGUUAUAAAAUUUAAAAUGCAAAUAAAUUUGUAAUAUCAGUUAAAAGUUUCUAUAUAAUACAUUAAAAAUUCUCUAACUAGCUAUUACAUCUUCAACACUAUAAGAUUUCAUGAUUAUCUUCUAAUGGUCCUGCUCAUUUAGAAGAGGGGUUGAGAGUUUUUGGAUUGUAUCUUAAAGCCUUUGUAAUACCGUUCAUACUUGCAUGAAGGAAGAACUCCUUGUCGAUCUUGAGGGUAACAUAUACUUGUCUAUCUCUCUUUUUGUUUUUUGUUUCUUUUGGGUAAGUUACUUUGUCUUUAGGAUGCCACAUGUAUGCAUGUAGCUCAACAAUUGAGCUUCAGAAAGAGAAAAUUAAGAAAAGUUCUAUCACCACAAGGUACAUAUGUGUGUACUGAAAUAAUUUUUAUUUCAAGAUUGAUUUGAUUUUCAUGUCAGCAUGUUAAUUGUUUAUAAUGUUACAUGCACGUCUCUGUUUAUUAUGUUUGCUACUGCUAUGUUCAUUGUUUGCUUGACUAUUGCAAGGAUAUGAGUGCUGGUGUUUCUUUAUUUACUCUGUCUAAGGCUGAUGUUCUGUUAGAAAGUGGUGAAGCAAUUUUGGAGAAGAAUGUUGCUUGAGAAGGGACCUUAAAGUAAAAGCUUUUAAGACUUACUAUGUUAUACCAAACCAGGGAGACUGUUAGGGCCUAUACUUACAAUUCCUGCAACAUGGGACACCAAAUGCAAAACAAUCAAGAGAAGGAAGGACCACUUCGGACAACAAACACACAUGGCAGCAAAGGAGUGGAGUAGCAAGGACUACCAAAUUUGGUGAGGGUGCGUGGCAAUCUGUGGGAAAGCUUUACUGUAAUGAGGAUAAAAGGAGAAGGGAAGGAUCCAAAUAGAAUUUAGAGAAGAAAAUUGUUGAGAAGGAAGAAGAGGAAAGUUUCAGCCUCUCGAAAGCUGGAGGGAUUAAUCUAUUUGUUUGAGUUUUUUAUGUUUGUUGAAUCUAUAUUAAUUCCAAUGUAAGGAACUUCAAGAUGGAUCAAUUGAACUUUCAUUGUAAUUUUGGAAAA